CCUCCCUUCCAGGCAAGCGACCCUAACCCCCUUCCACCACUCACUGUUUCCUAGACUUCUUCCCCAAACCCCCAGUUACAGUUAAGAGCCUGGGAGCCAACAGGAGAAAACAGAAGAAACCCUGGGUCCUAGCAUCAGGGUGACCUUGGCCUUUUCCACCCCCAUCAGCUGGCCCCGCCUGGGUCUGCUCUUAGGAGGGGCUACUGAAAAAGGUUGUCUAUGGGGGGUGUCUCCAUGGCAACUGGGCCUAGUGCCCCACACGAGUGUUCCCUCCCCCACCUCCACUCAGCUGCCCACACGAAGCCCCUACCGUCCCCUCCAUCAGCCCACUGGACACUCAUGGCCCCCAGCCCCUGUCCUUGGUUCUGGCCCCUUCCUCCUUCCUCUCCAGAUGGAUGCCGAGUUUCCUCUUAUCUACUGGCUCCUUCUCCCCCAUCUGUGCCCCUCACCACCAGCACCACCACCUCAACUGUCCUAGCAAAUCUCUGCUUCCCCCCCGGAGUGAUCCCAUGACCCCGAAGUGUACCCCUCCCCCAGCUGGGCCCCCCACAACCCAGGAUCAGCAGGGGAUGGAAACGGGGUAAGUGAGGGAAAUUCUCCCAUCAAAAAAAGAUUUGAAGAUCUUUUCAUUCUGUCGAUUUGAGGGGCAAUCUGUUUGGUUUUAGGGACUCUUCCUUUAGUCCAUCUGUCAACGGCAGCAAAGGAGGAGGGAGCAGGGGACCCCCAAUUCUAAAGCUUCCGGAUAUGACAGGGGUCAACAGCCCUUCUCCCUCUGAAGGGGCUGGCUCCUUCCUCCAGAAUUAGGGGGGUCACAGAACCUUCCUUGUACAUCCACCCACCUCCGAUUAAUAAAAAGAUCUGUCUCACCUCUGUUAACGAUAGGUCAACUCUCCGAUGCACUGGGGAGGGGGACGAUGAGCCCCCCUGCCUGCACCCCCCCCAGAAAAACCCUGGUGGCUCCCAGUUCUCACUGCUCCCCCUCCCCCAGCAGCGAGGGACCCAGGCGUCCGACCUGGUUGGGGGGUGUUGAGGUGGGAGGGGAGGCUGAGGGGCCGCUCUUAGCUCGGGCCCCAAGGGAGUGGGGGUCGGGAUGAAAAAAAAAAAAAAAGGUGAGGAGACAAUUUGGUUCCCGUGUCGCUGGGUAAAGUGCGGAGCUGGAGGACGAGAGAGGGAGGGAGGAGGGAGGGAGGGGGAGGGGAGCCGCUGGGGAUGGGGGAGCCACAGAGAGGAGGUGGGGGGAGGGAAACGAUUGGGGGGCAGGGUCUGGGUGGCAGAAGGAAGCUGAGGGAAAAGAGAGAGAGAGAGACCCAGAGAGGGAGGGAGAGAGACGCAGAGAGACAAGGAGAAGCGGAAAGAGAGAAACCCAGAGACUGUGAAACAGAAAUGGGGGAGGGAGAAAUUUGGGGGAGGCAGCGGCUGGUAGCAGAAGGAAGUUGGAGAGAGAGACACACACAGAGAAAUGUCCAGAGAGAGAAGGGGACAGAGACAGAGACACAAAGAGAGAAACCAAGAGACUGGGGGACAGAUGGGGGAUGGGGUAAGGGAGAGGAUGAGGGGGGGGUCAGGAUGGGAUAACAGAAGGAAAGAAGAGACAGGGACAGAGUCAUCCAGAGAGGGGGAGGAGAGACAGAUGGGGAGAGACAGACAGAGACUGAGGAUGGGGGAGAGAACGAAACAGAGGAAGGGAGAGAGAAAUUGGGGGGUGGGGGCAAGGUCUUAAUAGAGAGAAGGAUGAUUUAGAGAGAGAAAAAUGGAGAGAGAGAGUGGACAAGAGAGUGAAUAAUAAAAGAAAUUUAGGGGAGAAGGUUCUGAGUGGCAGAAGAUGCCUGGACACAGAAAAGCCGGUGCAGAAGGAAAGAGAGAGAUAGGUGGAGAGAGCCUGCCUGGGAGAGACCCCGGGAACGAGAGACAGAGAGAGACUGAGGAGGCAUCAGAAGGAAGCUGGAGGAAAACAGGAGAGGGGCCAGGCUCCGAUGGAUGAAGGAGGUCAGAGAUCGAGGCCACCCGCGCCCCCUCCCCCACCACAUCCCCAGCCCCCAUCCCUGCCCCCAUCCCCAUUCCAAAGCCACCACCCCACCCCCACUAGCCUCCUUCUCUCCACAGCAUCGCUUUUCGCCGCCACCGCCUCUUCCUGUCGCCAUAGCAACAGUGAUCCAGGCGCCCAGCCAAGGCUAGCAGCGGCGCCGGAAAUGAGGGGAGGGCCUUUCCAAAAGGACCCCAGGAGCUGUCCCCUU
rnacentral:lncRNA from 1 species